UAGAGUUUGAUCCUGGCUCAGAUUGAACGCUGGCGGCAUGCCUUACACAUGCAAGUCGAACGGCAGCACGGGAGCAAUCCUGGUGGCGAGUGGCGAACGGGUGAGUAAUAUAUCGGAACGUGCCCAGUCGUGGGGGAUAACGUAGCGAAAGCUACGCUAAUACCGCAUACGAUCUAUGGAUGAAAGCGGGGGAUCGCAAGACCUCGCGCGAUUGGAGCGGCCGAUAUCAGAUUAGGUAGUUGGUGAGGUAAAGGCUCACCAAGCCGACGAUCUGUAGCUGGUCUGAGAGGACGACCAGCCACACUGGGACUGAGACACGGCCCAGACUCCUACGGGAGGCAGCAGUGGGGAAUUUUGGACAAUGGGCGCAAGCCUGAUCCAGCAAUGCCGCGUGCAGGAUGAAGGCCUUCGGGUUGUAAACUGCUUUUGUACGGAGCGAAAAGGCUCCCUCUAAUACAGGGGGCUCAUGACGGUACCGUAAGAAUAAGCACCGGCUAACUACGUGCCAGCAGCCGCGGUAAUA
rnacentral:rRNA from 1 species